UACGGAGGGUGCGAGCGUUGUCCGGAAUCACUGGGCGUAAAGGGCGCGUAGGUGGCAGGCCAAGCGUGCGGUGAAAGCUCGGGGCUCAACCCCGAGUCGGCCGUGCGAACUGGUCAGCUGGAGCACUGUAGAGGCAGAUGGAAUUCCGGGUGUAGCGGUGGAAUGCGUAGAGAUCCGGAAGAACACCGGUGGCGAAGGCGGUCUGCUGGGCAGUAGCUGACACUGAGGCGCGACAGCGUGGGGAGCAAACAGG
rnacentral:rRNA from 1 species